GGCCAUUGUCGUGCACUGGUGGAGAACAUGAGCGAACAAUGGCGGGAAAUUUGAAAAGCUGAACGUGACAGGCGAGAGACAAAAUGUAUUUCGUAGACAGGGUAGAAUGUACAGCAAGCAACAACAACAUCAUCGGUGUAAAUGCUGAGGGAAGUGACAUGAUUGUGUUCUCCAAAAAACAAGACAUCCGACAGAUUUUAUUUUCAUGAUAUUACUGCAUGUUAGACAGGGGAAAUAAUAUAGAAACUUCAGGAAGCUGAUCUCGGGAAAACAUAGUUUGGUGCCGUGGUAGUCAGCUGAUCAGCGCAAAAUAACUAGACUUUUUAAAGAUGUACCCUAGCUGAGCCAAAAUUGGAAGUGGGAUAUAGGUCUACGCUCGAGUACACACAACCCCAUCCCUGCGGCGGCGUGGUCAUCAAGGAAUGGAACAGGAGAUGAUGAUCAGGAAAUGAUACUCAGGAGAUCAUUGAUGGCGGGUGAGGAGGAUUGCAGAUUGAGGUACUAGUAUCCAGCGGUUACAUUUUGAGAAGAGGUCAGAUGUCGACGUGUAGGCCUACCCGCAGCUUUACCGAGAGAAGGAAGAUGGUGUCAGACGGUGAAGUUCGGUCGACGAAUAUAUAUCUUGCCGAUACCAAGAGUUCAGCAGAUGCAGGCUCAUCAUGGUGAGGAGUGAUCAAGGAUCCAGUUUUGGGCCUUAUGCCGGCCAGCGAUUCCAAGGAAGUUUACGCGGGAGUUUAUUUUACAUGACGGGAAUGUUUCAAAGAAUGUCAGGGUUGUUUUACAAUCAGGAUGUGUUUUUUUUUUCAGGCCUAAUUCUGCAUCAUAAAAAGGAUAUAUUAUAUUAUGCAUGAUGUUAUCUAUUUGGCAAGUUUAGGCACUGUUAGAGCAACCUCCAAGAGUAAAAAAAAAAUGUUUAGUUCACAAAAUUGACCACAAUCUGACAUUUUGGAGUAAAUUUAUUCUCUCAUUUCGCCCACCCCCCCCCCCCCCCUUCAAGCCCGCGCAUAUCGCAUAGCCAUCAUUAUGUAUUUUUUACCAAUCAGAAUUCAUUAUUGAAACAGUGAAAUGCAAUUGUUUAAAAACUAAAAGCCCAGAUAUAUUGAUUAUUUCUGUGACUUUUAAUCCAAAAUGGGAUAUUCGAUCAGUCAAAAAUAUCCUCUCCGAAUUCGGCAGGUAGUUUUACGCCGCACAGUUAUGCUUUCUCUUUAAGAAAAAAAUCAACAUGAAACAAACUUAUGAUUAGUGAGAAAAAAGAAGAAGUGAAAUUAGACACGUAGCUAUACUGAUUGUAAAACAACUCCGCGAUUCCAAGGAAGUUUACGCGGGAGUUUACUUUACAUGAAGGGAAUGUUCCAAAAAACGUCAAGCCGUUAAGGGUUGUUUUACAACCAGAAUGUGUUUUUUUCAGGCCUUCUGUGCAUCAUAAAAAGGAUAUACAAUAUUAUGCAUGAUGUUAUCUAUUUGGCAAGUUUAGGCAUUGUUAGAGCAACCUCCAAGAGUAAAAAAAAUGUUUAGUUCACAAAAUUGACCACAAUCUGACAUUUUGGAGUAAAUUUAUUCUCUCAUUUCGCCCACCCCCCCCCCCCCUUCAAGCCCGCGCAUAUCGCAUAGCCAUCAUUAUGUAUUUUUUACCAAUCAGAAUUCAUUAUUGAAACAGUGAAAUGCAAUUGUUUAAAAACUAAAAGCCCAGAUAAUUUGAUUAUUUCUGUGACUUUUAAUCCAAAAUGGGAUAUUCGAUCAGUCAAAAAUAUCCUCUCCGAAUUCGGCAGGUAGUUUUACGCCGCACAGUUAUGCUUUCUCUUUAAGAAAAAAAUCAAAAUGAAACAAACUUAUGAUUAGUGAGAAAAAAGUGAAAUUAGACACGUAGCUAUACUGAUUGUAAAACAACUCUUAAUAUGUCACUGAUCUCACCACAAAAGUGUGAAGAUCAGUGGGUUCACUUAUUGAUCAACCAAAUCAGUUCAUCUUCCCUCCGCGAUUGCGGCAUCAUUAUACUCUUCUCCGUUAUUUUUUCCACAUUUUAUUUGCAUUAUUCAGAAAAAAUAAUGUAAAAACUAAAACGCGAUAAAAAAUAAAAGAAAACUUUGUCCGCCUUGCGUGCAGGUAAAUUUGCAUUUUUAUACAUAACCUAGAUGCUGACUGAAUUCUGCUAUAAUAGGAAUAUCAAUGUUGCUGGAUCAUUCCUGUGCUGUUUAGUAAAGUCUCUAUAUAACUAGCUAAAGGAGGAGGCUGCAUUCGGUCAUUUUUUGCUCUUCCAUGUCAAUCAUUUAUAUCUUAAAUAUGUUAUAUUUUUUUAGGCUUUGGGGGAUUUUACUAGGAACACGUUGUCUGGUCCAUGGAUAUUUUUUUAUGUAUGAACUCAGAAGCAAGAGAACAGAGCGAACAUUACACUUAAAGCCUUUUCAGUAGUGAUAUUAAAGGAAUAUAUUGCAUAGUUUGGUGAAUUUGAAUAACAUUUUUAGUAAAAAAAAAUGUAAGCUUCCACGUCUUUUCUCUUUGAGGAGGGAAUGACAACCCACUUUCCCCUUCUACAUUUGGCGCUAUUAUCUCCACAAAUGUGUGGUAAAUUGGUACUAUAUGCAGCGCUUAUAGAAACAUCUUAAGCGCUACAUAAAUUUUGCAUAUUAUUAUGUGGUGGUUCGCGAAUGAAUUGCAGAAGUGUAGAACAUUUAACUUAUCCAGACAUCUUACCCCAUCUCGGAUGUAAAUUCAUGUUUUCAAAAAAGGAAAAAUCUUCAAUUAAACGGACCCAUUUUUAAGAAUGGGCCUUAGAUUUUCAUUCCUGGGAAGUAAGAAACAAUGUAUAUUUAAAAUCGUUAUUAAUGUAUGAACAAAAAGUACUAAAAGUCCAGUUUGCCAAAUUUUUCUUUUGACUGUUUUAAAAUAGCAUUUUGAAGGGCAAGUC